AGCAUCGGUCGGGAAUCGAACCUGGGCCACCCCGCGUGGCAGGCGAGCAUUCUACCACUGAACCACCGAUUC
rnacentral:tRNA from 1 species